AAACGACUCUCGGCAACGGAUAUCUCGGCUCACGCAUCGAUGAAGAACGUAGCAAAAUGCGAUACUUGGUGUGAAUUGCAGAAUCCCGUGAACCAUCGAGUUUUUGAACGCAAGUUGCGCCCGAAGCCAUCAGGUUGAGGGCACGUCUGCCUGGGCGUCACGCA
rnacentral:rRNA from 1 species